rnacentral:lncRNA from 1 species
UUGUGCAUUGGAGAGUUCUGUGGCAGAGAUGGCUGCAGCAUAUUCAAGAGUUCCUGCUACAUCGAUGUACGCUGGUUUCCCUUUGAUGUGCAGCACUGCAAACUGAAGUUUGGGUCCUGGUCUUACGGAGGCUGGUCCUUGGAUCUGCAGAUGCAGGAGGCAGAUAUCAGUGGCUAUAUCCCCAAUGGAGAAUGGGACCUAGUGGAAUCCCCGGCAAGAGGAGUGAAAGGUUCUAUGAGUGCUGCAAAGAGCCCUACCCCGAUGUCACCUUCACAGUGACCAUGCGCCGCAGGACGCUCUACUAUGGCCUCAACCUGCUGAUCCCCUGUGUGCUCAUCUCCGCCCUCGCCCUGCUGGUGUUCCUGCUUCCUGCAGAUUCCGGGGAGAAGAUUUCCCUGGGAUAACAGUCUUACUCUCUCUUACCGUCUUCAUGCUGCUCGUGGCUGAGAUCAUGCCCGCAACAUCCGAUUCGGUACCAUUGAUAGCCAGUACUUCGCCAGCACCAUGAU